GGCGCCGGCAGCAGGGCUCGGAUUACACGUCCACCUCUGAGGAGGAGUACGGCUCCCGCCACGGCUCCCCCAAACACACACGCUCCCACACCUCAACAGCCACUCAGACCCCGAGGGCUGGCAGCUCCAGUCGGGCUCGUUCCCGGGCCCCCGGUCCCCGGGACACAGACGACGAUGAGGAGGAACCUGACCCUUAUGGUUUCAUCGUGCAGACGGCAGAGAUUGCAGAGAUCGCCAGGCUGAGCCAGACACUGGUGAAGGACGUGGCCAUCCUAGCCCGGGAGAUCCAUGAUGUGGCUGGGGACGGUGACACACUGGGCUCCUCGGGGCCUGCCCACAGUGCCUCCCUCAGCACCAUGCCCAGCACCCCCGCCUCGACCAUCUCUGCCCGGGAGGAGCUGGUGCAGCACAUCCCUGAGGCCAGCCUCAACUUCCAGAAGGUGCCUCCCGGCUCGCUGAACUCUCGGGACUUUGACCAGAACAUGAACGACAGCUGUGAGGACGCCCUGGCCAACAAGACACGGCCUCGGAACCGAGAGGAGGUGAUCUUUGAUAACCUGAUGCUGAACCCCGGUGUCCCAGCUGUCGCAGGCCAUCCGUGAGAACACAGAGCACCUUGCCGAGAAGAUGAAGAUCCUCUUUCAGAACACAGGGAGAGCCUGGGAGGACCUGGAAGCCAGGAUCAACGCCGAGAACGAGGUGCCCAUCCUGAAGACGUCUAACAAGGAAAUCAGCUCCAUCCUGAAGGAACUGAGGCGGGUGCAGAAGCAGCUAGAAGUUAUCAACGCCAUCGUGGACCCCAGUGGGAGCCUGGACCUGCUCACAGGAAACAGGAGCUUGGCCAGCUCCGCACAGCCGGGGCUGGGGAAGGGCCGUGUGGCUGCCCAGAGCCCACCCUCGCCCGCCUCAGCCGAGGCCCUGCUGCCAGCCCUGCCGCUGAGGAGUUUCCCACAGCGGGUCAGCUGUGGGCCUCCCAGCCUCCCGGACCCCACCUUCCUCCCUGAUGCCGAGAGGUUCCUGAUCUAGGCCCCGGACCUGGCCAGGCUGGCCUACCUGUGCGUGUGCGUCUCUGCCUCCCGUCCGCCGCACGCCUGCCUGCCUGCCUGGCGGCAAGUGGUUCUCCCUGAAGACCCCCACAUGUGCCAUAUCCCCGUGGGCGGGGGCCUCCCACGCCCUUGCCCCCUCGUCAGCUCCCAGCCAGCACCCUACUCACCCUGUCCAGCCCUGUGGCCACCCCCACCCCUGCCCCGCCCCGCCCCCUACAGGUCUCUGGCCCAGCUCCUGGCCAGGCUGCUGCCAAGGUUUCAAGCCCUCAAGGGCAUUACCCCAUCUCCUCUUCAUCACUGUUAUUUUUGUCUUUAGCUUUAAAGGAAAGAGUUGUUGGUGCCAUUGCAGGUGCCUCCUCCAGGCCUGACUGGCUCCACCAGGCACUAACCUGCCAUACCCCUUUGUACUGGCCUGCGGCCAGGCAGAGGAAGAGAGGUUGACUGUGGGGUCAUUUGGUGCCAAACAUGGAGCUGGGGCAGGCUCACCUGUCCUGGGACUAUCUAAGAUGGCAGGGCACUUGCCCUGGUGGCUCCCACCUGACCCCAGGCCUUUUAUAGGCAGGAGCCCCACUGCUUCCAGCCUUUGGUGCCAACACAGUUGCCAAACCCAUUGAGCUUGGGGCUGCCCCGUGAAGCCCUCCUGGGUGUGGACUGGGGGCUGGUUGAGAGCUGAGCCAUGCACACAGGUACAGAUACCCACCCCCACUCCCAUGCACUCAGCUAGUCCAGGCGCCUCCAUGCUGCACCGUGAGGACUGGGGGGCAUGUCCCCUUGAGGGGCUAUGGGCCUCUGUACUUGGGCUUCCAAGGGCCUGGGCACAGCCAGGUGCGUGGCAGCCCUUCAGGCGGGAGUGAGUGCAUGACCAAAGUGACUGGAAGCCGGGUUUCCGGAAGCUCGCAGCUUGGCCUGCACCACACGCCCUCCCCUUUUGGCUUCACGCCAUCAGGCCUCAGGUGGGCAUGGGGGCAGGGAUGGGCCCAGGAACUGUUGUUUUCUCAGGAUUCUUUCAGCUGGGAACAUGGCAGGUGAGCAGAGCUUGGCCCCUCUGCCGUGGCCCCUGCUGGGGCAGCCCGUGUUGCCAGAGCCUCUAAGCCAAAGAGCCCAUUGGCCGUGGUUGGUGGGGAUGGACGUGGGGGGUGUCCCACCUGGACCAGACUGGCGUAGGUGAGCUCCACACCCCGCCUGGCAUUGGUACGAGAGUCAGACCUGGACAGGGCCAGCUGCUGGGGGAGUGGCGCUGGGGGCUGGAGGCUGGAAGUGGGUGGUUUGUGUCCCCUGUUUACUUUUAGCUGAUCUGGGGUUGGGUGUACGGGUUCUGUGCCUCUGAGCCCUGCGGCCCACCUGAUGUUUACGUGUGGGGGGGCGGGGGGCCGGUGUCUCCCCCUGGUCCCCGCCCCAAGAGCCUGCUGUCUAUAUGGAGGAGGUGCUAGUCCGGCCCACCGGGCUGCUGCCCACCCCUGCAUGCCUCAGUUACCCACCCUGCCUGCCCCUGGACAUGAAGUGGUCACUCUUCAUCCACGGCUCCUGCCCACCCCUCAGCAGUGGCAGUGCAAUGUUUCGAAUUCACAAGUUCCCGCUCCUCCCCACGCUGAGCUCCUUUGCUCCUCCCCCUCCAGCCUUUGCCUGGGAAUGGUCCUUGUUUGCCAGGCUUCUCGGAGGGUUCACUGUACAUUCGUUCUCAGGUGGUCUUGUGGCUGUCUUUCGGAAAAUGGUUAUUUUAUAUGAUUUAUCAUGGAAUUUGUUCUAAUAAAUCAUUCUUCUAUCACAUGGCAG